rnacentral:rRNA from 1 species
CGCUGGCGGCAUGCCUUACACAUGCAAGUCGAACGGCAGCACGGAGCUUGCUCUGGUGGCGAGUGGCGAACGGGUGAGUAAUAUAUCGGAACGUACCCAGGAGUGGGGGAUAACGUAGCGAAAGUUACGCUAAUACCGCAUACGUCCUAAGGGAGAAAGUGGGGGCUCGCAAGACCUCAUGCUCAUGGAGCGGCCGAUAUCUGAUUAGCUAGUUGGUGGGGUAAAGGCCUACCAAGGCAUCGAUCAGUAGCUGGUCUGAGAGGACGACCAGCCACACUGGAACUGAGACACGGUCCAGACUCCUACGGGAGGCAGCAGUGGGGAAUUUUGGACAAUGGGGGCAACCCUGAUCCAGCAAUGCCGCGUGAGUGAAGAAGGCCUUCGGGUUGUAAAGCUCUUUUGUCAGGGAAGAAAAGGGAUUGGCUAAUAUCUAGUCCUCAUGACGGUACCUGAAGAAUAAGCACCGGCU